GGCCUGACCUUUCAGGCAAGUGGCUAUGAAAAUACAUGGGUGGAGUAGAUACAUCACUACACGGUUUUGAAAUCAAAGCUGCUUCCAAACUGCUUUCUGUUAAUGUUUUUUCAGGAUUCCCCACUGAUUAAAAUUAAAAUCUGGUUACAAAACAAGGGACCUGGAGAGACAUUCACUUCUCUACAGAUGCUGCCUGCUGCUUCCAGCUUUUCUCCUUAAAGGCAGGGUGAAUCCAAAUUAUCAUCUCAGCACUGAAGGAUUCACCAAAGCAGUUUCACCUCUCUAUAAAAGCCUCUAGUGGAGAUCAUCUGAAUGCUUGAAGAAACCAGCCUUCUUUGCAAUUAUCUAAAAGGUGACCCUUCAAAUGGAUACCUGGAGCAUCCAAACAGCCUCCAACCAGGAGGAUUUGUCACUGACUCCACACAUCUUCCUCCAGCUUAUUGCAAAACCUGUCUGCCUGCUCACUGGAAAGAAUGACACACACACCUUCAAUCCAUUUGGCUUUUUGAAAAAUGAAGACCUUUUUGAUGUGUAUGCGGGAGGACGAAACAGCAUGCAUAAAUUAAUAAAAAAUUAUCCUCUCUUUUUGAGGCACUGUUUGGUUUUUAAGGGAACAAAGCCAUUUCGACAUUUUAAUCUCCAGUCCUGCU